AUUGAACGCUGGCGGCAGGCUUAACACAUGCAAGUCGAGCGGGGUGAUGGUGCUUGCACUAUCACUUAGCGGCGGACGGGUGAGUAAUGCUUAGGAAUCUGCCUAUUAGUGGGGGACAACAUCUCGGAAGGGAUGCUAAUACCGCAUACGUCCUACGGGAGAAAGCAGGGGAUCACUUGUGACCUUGCGCUAAUAGAUGAGCCUAAGUCGGAUUAGCUAGUUGGUGGGGUAAAGGCCUACCAAGGCGACGAUCUGUAGCGGGUCUGAGCGGAUGAUCCGCCACACUGGGACUGAGACACGGCCCAGACUCCUACGGGAGGCAGCAGUGGGGAAUAUUGGACAAUGGGGGGAACCCUGAUCCAGCCAUGCCGCGUGUGUGAAGAAGGCCUUAUGGUUGUAAAGCACUUUAAGCGAGGAGGAGGCUCUUUUGGUUAAUACCCAAGAUGAGUGGACGUUACUCGCAGAAUAAGCACCGGCUAACUCUGUGCCAGCAGCCGCCGUAA
rnacentral:rRNA from 1 species